rnacentral:rRNA from 1 species
UACGAAGGGGGCUAGCGUUGUUCGGAAUUACUGGGCGUAAAGCGCGCGCAGGCGGUCUUCCAAGUCAGUGGUGAAAGCCCGGAGCUCAACUCCGGAACUGCCAUUGAAACUGUUAGACUUGAGGAUGAGAGAGGUGAGUGGAAUUCCCAGUGUAGAGGUGAAAUUCGUAGAUAUUGGGAAGAACACCGGUGGCGAAGGCGACUCACUGGGUCUUUACUGACGCUGAUGCACGAAAGCUAGGGUAGCAAACGGG